UACGUAGGGUGCAAGCGUUGUCCGGAAUUAUUGGGCGUAAAGAGCUCGUAGGCGGUCUGUCGCGUCGGAUGUGAAAACCCGGGGCUUAACCCCGGGCCUGCAUUCGAUACGGGCAGACUCGAGUGUGGUAGGGGAGACUGGAACUCCUGGUGUAGCGGUGAAAUGCGCAGAUAUCAGGAAGAACACCGGUGGCGAAGGCGGGUCUCUGGGCCGAUACUGACGCUGAGGAGCGAAAGCGUGGGGAGCAAACGGG
rnacentral:rRNA from 1 species